rnacentral:rRNA from 1 species
UACGUAGGGGGCAAGCGUUGUCCGGAAUUAUUGGGCGUAAAGCGCGCGCAGGCGGUCUUUUAAGUCUGGUGUAUAACCCUAAGGCUCAACCUUAGGUCGCAUUGGAAACUGGGAGACUUGAGUGCAGAAGAGGAGAGUGGAAUUCCACGUGUAGCGGUGAAAUGCGUAGAGAUGUGGAGGAACACCAGUGGCGAAGGCGACUCUCUGGGCUGUAACUGACGCUGAGGCGCGAAAGCGUGGGUAGCAAACAGG